UGCCGGGAAGUGGGGGAUAGCUCGCCGAAAGGCGAAUUAAUACCGCAUGAGGCCAGAGGGGACAUCCCUUCGACGCCAAAGUCGCAAGACGCUUCCUGAUGAACUCGCGGCCUAUCAGCUUGUUGGUGAGGUAACGGCUCACCAAGGCUAUGACGGGUAGCUGGUCUGAGAGGACGACCAGCCACACUGGAACUGAGACACGGUCCAGACACCUACGGGUGGCAGCAGUCGAGAAUUUUUCACAAUGGGGGAAACCCUGAUGGAGCGACGCCGCGUGGAGGAUGAAGGUCUUCGGAUUGUAAACUCCUGUCAUGCGAGAACAAGAAAGUGAUAGUAUCGCAAGAGGAAGAGACGGCUAACUCUGCGCCAGCAGCCGCGGUAAUACAGAGGUCUCAAGCGUUGUUCGGAUUCAUUGGGCGUAAAGGGUGCGUAGGCGGCGUGGUAAGUUGAGUGUGAAAUCCUAGGGCUUAACCUUAGAACUGCACUCAAUACUGCCAUGCUAGAGGAAUGUAGAGGAGAGUGGAAUUCACGGUGUAGCAGUGAAAUGCGUAGAUAUCGUGAGGAAGACCAGUUGCGAAGGCGACUCUCUGGGCAUUUCCUGACGCUGAGGCACGAAGGCCAGGGGAGCAAACGGGAUUAGAUACCCCGGUAGUCCUGGCAGUAAACGGUGCACGUUUGGUGUGGGCGGGUUCAGACCCCGUCCGUGCCGGAGCUAACGCGUUAAACGUGCCGCCUGGGAAGUACGGUCGCAAGAUUAAAACUCAAAGAAAUUGACGGGGGCCCGCACAAGC
rnacentral:rRNA from 1 species